GUGACGGCGGAGCCAUGGCGGCGGCCGGCGCGGCCUCGGCGCGCCGCGUGACGGGCGUGCUCGGCGGGCGAGGGGCGCGGGCGGCGGCGGAAUGUCAUUUAAAAUCACUCUGACAGACCUGCCUAAUAUGGACAGUUCAAGUGAUUUCAGUUUGGCAGACUUAGAAGCAACUGAAAACAUGAUCUUAUAGUGAAAAGUUCAGUGAAACCUCAAGUGUCAGUUGCACUUAGAAGUGGCGUCCAACUAGACCAAGCUCUGCUGUGAGUGAAGAGUUGAGCAGCCAUAUGACCACGUCGGAUGCAGAAUGUUUGGAGCGGCUCUACAGUCUUCUCAUUAAAAAAUCUCUCAGUGAUGACUGUCCGUAAAUAACCGCCAUUUUGUGAGCUGUGAAUACUGCAAUAUGUGAAUGUCGUCUGUCAUCUCUGAAGGCAUUCCUCCCCCCUAACUUUAGAUGUAGGCAGACAACAUUUGGCAAAAUCUAUCCUACUGCUAUUGUUUUCAUAGCUUGAAAUCAAGGUGAGAUGUAAAUCGGAACCACAAACUGACCUUCUGCAUUGUAUGAAGUUGACAUCACCAAAGACACAAAGUGGACUCAGCUGCAUUGGUGGGAGAGUGGAUUGAAGGAGUUGUAUGGAGACACAGCAUUUUCUCUGGUGCGUGACCAUGUGAAGGUUAACAGGAAAACAGCUAGUACGGUGAGAAUUACAAGCAUGAAGUGAGAGGUGAUGUGAGGCACAAGAACACCAUUCUGACAAGCAGACUGUAGCAUCAGGAGAUCAAGGAAAACAAAGCUGUGGGAUGUGGGUUCCCCCUCCCCAGCAACUUCACCCUGAAAUCAUUAGUUCUUGUUGACGCAGUUACUAUCAUUAAGAGAAAGCAGUCAUAGCUUAGGAAAGGUUUUACCAGUGCUGUUAGAUCUCCCAUGUGAUAAUGUGACCCCCGCAGCCCUCUAAUCCUGUCAGUGUCUAAUUUGCAGGAAGUGUGGAGAUGUUGCCAUGCUUGUUCAAUACAUCAAAAUAAAUCCGAUGCUGCAGCAGCUAGGACAGCAGUUGAAAUGUGUAGGAGAAUACCAGCAUUAACGACAUUUUUGUGAAGGUGCAGGCAGAUGGCCGGACAUGGCCUGAGGUUAUCCUGAGGGGAUAACAGUGUGAGAAACUGCCGGACAGAGCAGGCCAUGGGCAUGCGAAAGUAGCUGACCAACCCUGACCUGGGACUAACCUAAUAAAGUGAGUUGCAACCAGACUAAAGGGGUGAGAGGGGAGCGUCAGACCUGCCUUGGAUAGAGAGUGCCUGAGGGUAGUGAGAGUGGGUGCUGGCUUAUUGAGGUCACUGACCAAGGCUGCAAUUACUGAAUAAGACUAAAAUCAGCAAAACUUGGGCAUAUAGGGAAAGAGAAAAACCAGAGGCGGGUUAUUUAAAUGGGAGAGGUAAAAGGAAAUGUAAGGCAAAGCAAACCACGUGAUCAAAGAUGCUUGGGGAUUGCCUCACCAAUGCCGCCAGGAGCAGGACAAUAAACCUGUUUCGUCCAUA